GAUGAACGCUAGCUACAGGCUUAACACAUGCAAGUCGAGGGGAAACGGCAUUGAGUGCUUGCACUCUUUGGACGUCGACCGGCGCACGGGUGAGUAACGCGUAUCCAACCUUCCCAUUACUGUGGGAUAACCUGCCGAAAGGCAGACUAAUACCGCAUAGUCUUCGAUGACGGCAUCAGAUUUGAAGUCAAGAUUUAUCGGUAAUGGAUGGGGAUGCGUCUGAUUAGCUUGUUGGCGGGGUAACGGCCCACCAAGGCUACGAUCAGUAGGGGUUCUGAGGGGAAGGUCCCCCACAUUGGAACCGAGGCCCGGUCCAAACUCCUACGGGAGGCAGCGGUGAGGAAGAUUGGUCAAUGGACGGAAGUCUGAACCAGCCAAGUAGCGGGCAGGAUGACGGCCCUAUGGGUGGUAAACUGCUUUUGUAUGGGGAUAAAGUUAGGGACGUGUCCCUAUUUGCAGGUACCAUACGAAUAAGGACCGGCUAAUUCCGUG
rnacentral:rRNA from 1 species